AUGUCUCUUUUGGAGAACCAGGACCACAUUCCUCUGUCCAAAGAUCUGGUGAUCAGGACUGGGAUCUGGGAGGAUGUCCCCUCUGGUCUCUGUGCUCUGCCUGUGCUGACCCAGCCCCCAUCUGCAUAUUCCUCCCUUGAAGCCUCAGCCAAGCUCACCUGUACCCUGAGCAGUGAGCACAGCACUUACUCCAUCCACUGUAUCAACAGCCCAGGGAAGACCCUUGGGUAUGUCACGAAGGUUAACAGUGAUGGGAGCCACAGUAAGAAGGACUGGAUUCCUGACCUCUUCUUGGGCUCCAGUUCUGUGGCUGACCCAUACUUAUCCAUCUCCAACAUUCAAUCUGUGGAGGAGGCUGAGUAUCAUUGUCGUGAGAGCUGUACAGUUGAUGGACAGGGCGGGUAA